rnacentral:rRNA from 1 species
GACGAACGCUGGCGGCGUGCUUAACACAUGCAAGUCGAACGAUGUGGCGAACGGGUGAGUAAUACGUGGGUAACCUGCCCUCCUUUUUGGGAUACGCCUUGGAAACGGGGUCUAAUACCGCAUAAAGGGGUAUGGGCUCGCGGCCUAUCAGCGUGUUGGUGGGGUGAAGGCCUACCAAGGCGGUGACGGGUAGCGGGCCUGAGAGGGGGGCCGGACAGAUUGGGACUGCGAUACGGCACGGAGUGCAACGGGAGGCAGCAGUGGGGGAUAGAGCACAGUGGGAGAGAGCCUGGUGCAGCGACGGAGCGUGGGGGAUGAAGGCUUGAGGGUUGUAAACCUCUUUCGCUGGCGAACGGGUAGGUGGAGAAGAAGCGACGGCUAACUACGUGCCAGCCGCCGCGGUAAUUC